AUAGAUACCCAGGUAGUCCAUGCCGUAAACGUUGGGAACUAGAUGUAGGGCCUGUUCCACGGGUUCUGUGUCGUAGCUAACGCAUUAAGUUCCCCGCCUGGGGAGUACGGCCGCAAGGCUAAAACUCAAAGGAAUUGACGGGGGCCCGCACAAGCGGCGGAGCAUGCGGAUUAAUUCGAUGCAACGCGAAGAACCUUACCAAGGCUUGACAUAUAGAAGAACACUGCAGAGAUGCAGGACUCUUUGGACACUUCUAUACAGGUGGUGCAUGGUUGUCGUCAGCUCGUGUCGUGAGAUGUUCGGUUAAGUCCGGCAACGAGCGCAACCCUCGUCCUAUGUUGCCAGCACGUAAUGGUGGGAACUCAUGGGAUACUGCCGUGGUCAACACGGAGGAAGGUGGGGAUGACGUCAAAUCAUCAUGCCCCUUAUGUCUUGGGCUUCACGCAUGCUACAAUGGCCGGUACAAAGGGCUGCGAUACCGCAAGGUGGAGCGAAUCCCAAAAGCCGGUCUCAGUUCGGAUUGGGGUC
rnacentral:rRNA from 1 species